CAGUCUCCCGCCUCGCUCAAUCCGCUGCCCCGUAGCAGAUUUCGAGCUGGAUGCAACGCAUCGUUGAAGAUGUCGCUGUUACGAGACAAGAGAAACCUCCAGGUGACGAUCUUUGAGUACGGGGCCGUCUUGAUGUCUACUGUGUCGGUCGUUCGUAAUUUAUCAGUCUCUACAUAC
rnacentral:snoRNA from 1 species